GUGAGGAGGGCUUCUAACUGUGUCACGUACUUUACAUCAGGAAAAUCAGCUGACAAGGACCCAAAAUGUGCUCCUUGUGGACCCUUCUUUUAAAGUGCAGGGAUGGAAUGAGAGAAGCAGAGAUCAUCAGGACCUGCUUGAGGCAAACCAAUCUGUAUCUUCAAGACUGUUCUCAUGUGUUUCUUCAUGUGGCUCACACCGCCUUGAAAUGAUGGACACAGACUUCUUCAACUCCUCAAAUCACCAUUAAUUAAAUUAUUUAUUAAGCCCUCCUGGAGAAAUCUGGGCCAGUUCAUGCCCUGUGGCAUCGCUCAGGAAGGUUUGUUUCCACGGGAGGGUUUUCAGAGAGUGAGGUGUGUUUGUAAAGCCAGGGCUUUGUAUUUCUUCCCAUCUCAACCUCAGCUUGUGUUAUGUUAAAAUCUGUCUUUAAAAGCACAGCUAUUACUCUACUUAUGUCAACAUAACUUGUGAAACUUUCUUGUUGUGGAGCAAAACUACAGGUCUUAGGAUUGCUUGGUGAGCCCCAGGUGAACUUCAAUUUGCUGGCCACUGACAAGUGCAGCUUUUCUGACCUAGUGCCCCAACCUCCAGAUGAAACUCAUGGAUGGAAACAAGAAU